GGGAACGUACCUUUUGGUUCGGAACAACACAGGGAAACUUGUGCUAAUACCGGAUAAGCCCUUACGGGGAAAGAUUUAUCGCCGAAAGAUCGGCCCGCGUCUGAUUAGCUAGUUGGUAGGGUAACGGCCUACCAAGGCGACGAUCAGUAGCUGGUCUGAGAGGAUGAUCAGCCACAUUGGGACUGAGACACGGCCCAAACUCCUACGGGAGGCAACAGUGGGGAAUAUUGGACAAUGGGGGCAACCCUGAUCCAGCCAUGCCGCGUGAGUGAUGAAGGCCCUAGGGUUGUAAAGCUCUUUUGUGCGGGAAGAUAAUGACGGUACCGCAAGAAUAAGCCCCGGCUAACUUCGUGCCAGCAGCCGCGGUAAUACGAAGGGGGCUAGCGUUGCUCGGAAUCACUGGGCGUAAAGGGUGCGUAGGCGGGUUUUUAAGUCAGAGGUGAAAUCCUGGAGCUCAACUCCAGAACUGCCUUUGAUACUGGGAAUCUUGAGUAUGGAAGAGGUGAGUGGAACUGCGAGU
rnacentral:rRNA from 1 species